UACCGAUCCUAAAUCUUUGCGUGUAAAGAAACCUUUAUUUCUUAAAUAUGGCGGAACUGAACGCAGCUAUUAUGAUUACCUGUCAGUUUGACGUUUGACAAUCAAAUGACAGUCUUUUGGCACGCGGAUGUUGGGAAGAUGGCGUCCUCGCGAAAACGUUGCUUGAGGGAUGCAGAAUUAGAAAAUUAUUUAAAUCUAAACGAAUCCGACUUAGAAAUAAGUGAUUACGAUGAUGACAUAUUUGAUGCGGAUUUUCAACCCCCGAGACGUGAUCAGCCUUCUUACUCCUCAACAUCUUCGUCAUCUGAAGAUGAAAAUGAACUAGUUCCUCCAGAGACCCAGAUGGUUACUGCUUCGGUUGGAAAUAAAAAUGUCACGCCUGCAGAAUCUCACAUUUCACGCCGUUCUCGUGGAAAUUCAAGGACUCGAAUUUCUUUUUUAUGAUGUUUAAUUGUUUAUAUAAGUAAUGUGAGAAACUUGAUCUCAUCCUUAAUAAAGACUAAAGUGCAAUUGUUAAACAAAGUUGAGGCUGAUGUGAUAAUAUUUUAGAAGAAAGUGCUUUUUGUUGAUGUUUAGAAUACAUAAGUUUAGAUUUUUUGUACAACUGUAAUGUACUACCUACAUAAAUAAAAAUAAUUAUGAAAUAUG